UAUUAUUUUAUUGAAAAAUGUGUCGUUAAAAUGAUGUCAAAAUACUAUUGAAAAAUGAAUUUUUCCAAAAGAAUGGGGCUCAAACAAGGACAUAAUCACAUGGACAAAAGAACUUAGAUCUUGUCUUCAAAAUGAAGACCAACAUUCUUGAGACCGAUAUCUUCUAGAUAACGAAACAUUAACUUGUUUUUGACAUCUUAAAAACUGUUUAAACCAUAGAAGUUUGGACAUAAAGUGAUUAGUGCAUGUAUAAAAACAUUGCCCACUAUAAUACAUCUCAUUACAAAGCUUACAAAUAAUGUCUUUCUGCAAGCAUAUCCUCAUCAUUCAUGUCGAGAUUACUUGUUGCAAAAAAUUUUACUCCUUUGUCAUCAUUAGAACUCUGCACAUAUUGUUGAAUAGUACUUGAAAGCAUAGCAAUCAGAAGAGAAAUCAGGGUGCGUAAUCAAAAUUAUCAAAUAAAAAAAUUCAAAUCCUAUAUAAAAUAAUAAACUCAAAUUAAAUACUUUAUUCCUCGACAACGGCGUUAAAAACAUGUUCAUGCAAAACCUGCAAGUCUAUGGAUCGUUGACAAGUAAUACGUUAUAGUUACAUGUAUCGUUCAACAAAAAAUAAAUUUCAAUUCAAAUUUAUUAGUCAUGUAUGGAAUUCGAAUUAUGUAAACAAAGAAUUUGAUUUUAUGCUAAAUUAUCUACAAAACUUAGGUUUUUAUCAAAUCAGGGUCGAUUGUAUUGGAUUUCGAAUCCGCCUAUUGUUAGUUGUUUCAAUUCUUGAUUUGUAAUUUAGUUUCAUUCAUGAUAAUUUAAUAAAACUAAUGUAUUUAAUUUUCUUUUUCAAGAAAAAUUAAUUAUAUUCUAACCACGAUUCGAAUAUACUCUUAACCCGAAUUUUGAAUGGUUAGAACGCAUCAAAGUUUAGAUUAUCUAUAUAAUUGUAUAAGUGAUAAGUGUUAUUCCUAAUCUCUAUUGCACACAUGUUAAUUUUUAACGCGUUCUCAAUUCAUUACGAGUCUCUCAACACUCAAAUAAGUAACUAAUUGGUGGCCAAUCAACUAAAUAAUAGAAUAGAUAUGCAAAGUUAAUUAAGAAUCACAAGAAUUAAACUAAUGUAUUAGUCUUGAAUUAGAAAAUAACAAAUAGGAUUUAUCUUCAUCUAAUACAAAAGCGGACCAAGCCUAAUAUAUUAAUCUAUAAAUUACAAGAAAAACAAUACAAAAAUAUCACCUGGAUCAUGAAAUAACUCAAAAGAUGUAAUUGAGCUUCAAUUCCUUAUUAUGCUUGAUAUUUUGAUCAUAAUGUUCUCUUUCGAUGCUGAUUGUGGUGAUUCAAAGUGUAUUGAAAAGAUAACUUAAAGAAUUACAUUUCCUUUAGAAAUACAAUUUUUUCAAUUCGAACGUUUUCUAUCCGUAAGAUGGGUCUCAAGAACAUAACUUAUUUGGCUAGUUGAUCAUAUGUGAUCUUCAAUAACAAUUUUAUGGUCCAUAUCAACUACUGAAUGUUUACACUUUGGUUUCCACACUUUGCAUUUCUUUUUGCCCCUUUCUCGUAAUUCCACUAAUUUGCAUUGAGUUCAACCUAACAAAUAUAAUUAAGCUAUAACUCAUUCAAAUCACUAAACAAAUACUUCAAUUUAUUGGCCUGAAAAAGUGUACAAAAUACACUUAUCAAUAUCAUUAAUUGUAUACUGUAAAAAAAAUCUUCCUUCUGAACAAAAUUACACAAGGUACUAUAUUUUGUAGAGUCGUUAAAGCGUCGAAAAACUAAGUUCACACUACAAUCAAGAUGUUUCGCAAACAAGAAAUUGCUGGUUCUCUGUAACACAAAGCAACCCUUGACCGAACAACAAUUAUAACAGAAGUAAAACUCCUCCUUACCUCUUUUUGUUAGAGCUGACAAUAGUAUCAAGAAACUCUUGCACAAAAAGACACACUGCCCUAUUUCACAUUUGAUUUCAAAAGUCCAACAAUAGCAAAUUACAUGGUGGUGAAAGAGAUGAAGUCACAAUACCGGCUCAUGUCACAACUCCAGCGACUGUCUCCAUUUAUUACUCAUCUUCCUUUCAGCUUUCCUGUCAUACGCCGUCCUGAGCCUCAUAUUCAUAUCUAAUAAAAUUUCUUCUUCAUUCCUUAUUUGCAUUUUCCUUAAUUUAGUUAGAAGCUUUUUAAACUUUGCUCAGUUAAAAUCCUUUGCUUCCCCCUUUCCAAAAGGUAUGCUUCCUCAAAUUCUAAAGUAUGCAAGUAAUUAAUUUAUCUUUAAUUGAGGUGGGUAAUUCAUUGUUUGCCUUUUGAAUCUCAUGCUUGAAUUUUUGUAUAUCCUCAACUGGGAAAAUACAUCAAUCUCAUAACAUUUAACGUCAAAUCAUCAAAGAAAUCAAAUACUAUAUGAUAUUCUUCUCGUCUAAACUGGCAGCUUUCAUCAAAAUUGAUCAACUUCCUUAUAUAUUUUUAAGUUCUGCAAUAUCCUUUUUGACAUUUCCCUUUUCAGAACUAAGAUCUUGUCUUCAAAAUGAAGACCAAUAUUCUUGAAAUCGAUAUUUUCUAGAUAACGGACCAUUAGCUUGUAAAUGACCGCUUCAUUGAUAAAAAUAUAAAAUUUAAUCAUUGAUUAAAAGGGAUAAUUGCAGCAGAAGCUCCAAAAUUUUGAAACAUUAGCAAACUUUCUCAGAAUCUUUGAUUUGUUGUAGCCAUCACCCAUAACAUUUCCAAACGUUAUAUCUGAGGCUUCUUUUGGACUUUUGUCAUCCAAAAUUUCGUCAGUUGAACAAAAAUUGAUUUUUACCAUAUUUUAACAAUUUUUAAAGGGGUAAAAUGUUAAAUUAAAAUAAUAAAAAAAGGAAAAAUAAAAUUGAUUUUCUUCCCUAACCCACCCCAAAUCAACCCAAACCAAAAUCAUUGUACUUGUCUCUCACCAUUGGCACCAAAGGAAAUCGUUGACGGUUGCUAACGCCAACACCCACACACGCACCAUAAUUGUAACCACCGCCACCACCAAUACUCAUAUUCAUUUUCCAAUAAAUAAAUUAAAAACAAAAAUGGCUAAAAGUCCACCGAAAAACUCAUCUCCGGCGACGCCCAUGGUCGCGCACUACAACCGAUAGGUAGCUCUCAUCCAGACGAUAAAGAUUAUGACCUAAAAUUAACUAAUAAUGCACCAUUUCGUUCUGAGGUUGAUCUAACAGAUUCGAUAGUCACGAACUCGAAUCUCCCUCCUCAGUUCUUGUUUCACGCGACAUUAAAUCAACCAAUUGGCAUCAGUCGGUCUUAAUCAGGUCCCUAUGACCUUGGGUAGCAUUCCAAUUUCACCAAUUGUUCCAGAAAUCUCUCCAAUUUCAGAUUCAAAAUUUGGUACCCUUCUUGCGCAAACGAACGAUAGCGUCCCCAUUUCAGUUGUGGAGUGGGUUAGAUAGGAAGAACAAUUUUUAUUUUUAUUUUGUUUUUUUUAUGUUGAUUUUAAUGCAAAGUUACCAUUUUGCCCCUUUAAAAAUUAUUAAAAUGUGGUCAAUCAUUUUUUGGUCAACUGAUGGAAUUUUAGAUGAAAACCGUCCAAAAAGACCUUAAAUGUAACGUUUGGAAAUAUUAGAGGUGAUGACUGCAACAAAUCAAAAGUUUGGGAAAAGUCUGCUAAUGUUUAAAAGGUUUGGAGUUUCUGCUGCAAUUGUCCCUUUUAAAAAAUGAUUAAAUUUCAUAUCAGUGAAACUGUCCUUUACUAGCUAAUGGUCCGUUAUCUAAAAGAUAUCGGUUUCAAGAAUGUUGGUUUUCAUUUGAAGACAAGAUUUUGGUUUAGAAAAGGGAAAUGUCAAAACGGAUUUUGCAAAACUUAAAAAUAUAUAAGGAAAUUUUGAUCGAUUUUUUUAUGAAGGCUGUCAAUUUACACGAGAAGAAUCUCAUAUAGUAGUGAAUUUCUUUAAUGGUUUGACGAUAAAUGUCAUUAGAUUGAUAUAUUUGCCCGGUUGAGGAUAUUCAAAGAUUCAAGCAUAAGAAUCAAAAAAGGCAAACAAGGAAUUACCAACUUCAAUUAAAGAUGUAAUCAAUUACAUGCACACUUUAUAAUUUGAGGAAGCAUACCCUUUGGAAAGGGGAGAAGCAAAGGAUUUUAACCCAGCAAAAAUAAAAAGCAACUAACUACAUUAAGGAUAAGGAAAAUAAGCAAUGAGGAAAUUUUUUUACUAAAUUUGAAUAUGAGGCUCAGGAAGGUGUAUGAAAGGAUAGUUGAAAGAAAGAGGAGUAAUAAAUGGAGGUAGUUGCUGGAGCUGUGACAUGAGCAGCUAUUGUGACUUCAUCUCUUUCACCACCAUGUAAUUCAGUAUUAUUGGACUUUUGAAAUUAAAUGUGAAAUAAGACAGUGUGUUUUUGUACAAGAGUUUCCUGAUGCUAAUGUCAGCUCUAACAAAGAGGUAAGGAGGAGUUUUACUUCUGCUAUAAUUGUUAUUCGGUCAAGGGUUGCUUUGUGUUACAGAGGAGCAACAAUUUCUUGCCUGCAGAACAUCCUGAAUGUGGUAUGAACUUAGUUUUUCGACACUUUAACGACUUCGCAAGAUAUAGUACAUUAUGUAAUUCUGUUCAGAAUGAAUGUUUUUUUAAAGUAUACUAUUAAGGAUGCUGAUAAGUGUAUUUUUGUACACUUAUCUAGGCCAAUAAAUUGAAAUAUUUGUUUAGUGAUUUGAAUAAGUUAUACCUUAAUCAUGUGUAAAUUAUGUUUGUUAGGUCGAAUUCAAUGCAAAUUGGUGAAAUUAAAAGAAAGGAACGAAAAAUAGGCAAAAAUAAAAGAAAUUCAAAGUAUGAGGACCAAAGUGUAAACAUUCAAUACUUGAUAUGGACCACAAAAUAAUUAUUGAAGAUUACAUAUGAUCAAUUGGAUGCAAUUCAAAGGUCCAAGGAGUAAAAUAGAGCUGAAGUAUUUGCACAAUUCAAUUUUCAGCCAAAGAAGUUAUGCUUCAGGUGCCAAACCAUAGCCUAAAAAAUUAAUCUAUAUUUCCUUUUUUUUGUUUUUCCUCUCUAUUUUCUGUUGAUCUUAUGGCCAAAAAUUCAAUAUAAAAAAACCUAUACAAACUGAAAAUACACACAUUCUUAAUAUGCAUAAAGUAUGAAUAAACCCAUAUCAAGAAUCCCAACAAAAAAAAAGUUGAAAAUAAAUAAAAAGACAGAUUUUUUUCCCUAGUUGACUCUAAAAAAAAUUAAAAUUCAAGACUUCUUUUCUGCAACACAUAUCAAAAGUCUAUUUACGGCCUCAUCGGAACAAUCAUCAACAAACAAAACUCAUACACCGAAAAUUAAUGAAAUGACGAAAACUCAAACAUCUAACACAUAAUUUAGGGAUUAAGAUAAGAUAAACCCAUACCUUUAAAAUUAUUCAGUGUUAAAACCUAAAAAAUCCCCACACAGUCUGUACGGGGACUCCGCACCAAGAUUGCUACAAGAAGUCAUAUUUCACAAUUUCUGUCAAGAUUGCUAAUGCAUGAGAUAUACAAGAGACAAAUGAAUUAACAAGAUAAGAAGCAUUUUAAUUUACAUUAAACCAAGAAUAUACCUCUCUAUUUUACACAAAAAUCCAAAAUUGUGAAUCGAAUAAACAAAAUUAUAAUUAUCAGAUAAAAUCGAGGAUAUACAUCUCUAUUCACUCGAAAUAAAAAAUUUUGCACGUAGAAUUUUGAAUAAACAAAAUCAUAAAUUGAGAAAAACGGCAUGCCAGGAUUUAGCUCUCUAUUCACGAGAAUUUUGCACGAAGAGAUUAAUCAUAGAAAAACGAGAGAAGAAUUGAAGAAAUGAGAGAAAAAAAAUGAUGAUGAUGAUGAUGAAGAAAGCUUGUGUCUGGGUUUGCGUGGAGAAAU
rnacentral:lncRNA from 1 species